GGGGGCGUAGCUCAGUGGCAGAGCAUGUGCUUAGCAUGCCCACGUCCCUGGACUUGAGUCCCAGCCUCCCUG
rnacentral:tRNA from 1 species